rnacentral:rRNA from 1 species
AUUGAACGCUGGCGGCAUGCCUUACACAUGCAAGUCGAACGGCAGCAUAGGAGCUUGCUCCUGAUGGCGAGUGGCGAACGGGUGAGUAAUAUAUCGGAACGUGCCCUAGAGUGGGGGAUAACUAGUCGAAAGAUUAGCUAAUACCGCAUACGAUCUACGGAUGAAAGUGGGGGAUCGCAAGACCUCAUGCUCCUGGAGCGGCCGAUAUCUGAUUAGCUAGUUGGUGGGGUAAAAGCCUACCAAGGCGACGAUCAGUAGCUGGUCUGAGAGGACGACCAGCCACACUGGGACUGAGACACGGCCCAGACUCCUACGGGAGGCAGCAGUGGGGAAUUUUGGACAAUGGGGGCAACCCUGAUCCAGCAAUGCCGCGUGAGUGAAGAAGGCCUUCGGGUUGUAAAGCACUUUUGUCAGGGAAGAAACGGUAGUGGCUAAUAUCCAUUACUAAUGACGGUACCUGAAGAAUAAGCACCGGCUAACUACGUGCCAGCAGCCGCCGUAA